UUUAAAUGUUAAAUUAAUUAUCAAAGUAGUAUUAGUUAUGAUCUUGAAAUUUAAAAAUUUUGGCGGUGUUUUAGUCUAUUUAGAGGAACCUGUUCUGUAAUUGAUAGUCCACGAUAAAUUAAACUUUAUUUAAUUAGUUUGUAUAUCAUCGUUAUUAAGUAUUUUAAAAGAAUAUAAAUAUUUAAUUUUUUAAAUUAAAAUAUAUUUCAGAUCAAGGUGCAGUUUAUAUUAAAGUAGAAAUGGGUUACAAUAAAUUUAUUUAUACGGAUUUAUUUAUAAAAAUAAUAAUGAAGGUGGAUUUAAUAGUAAUAAAAUUUAAAUUAAUUUUAUGAUUUUAGCUCUAAAAUGUGU
rnacentral:rRNA from 1 species